AUUUCUAUAUGUUUAUUUUGUAAUUUUAUUAGUCAAGUUUCCUGAAUGACCCUGGUUCAUAACCGUCAAAUUACAAUCUGCAUUGCACUGACAAUUUAAUAAGUACUGUCAUUUUCAUAUAUUUGUUCUGUUAUUUUUUAGCUAUAUGGAGAAUUUCUCCUUCCCGGCAAAUAUUUAUCUUACAAUUUUUCCCUUGUUGUUUUCUGUUGUUUAUUCUGAAUGCUUCUUUUCAUAUGCAUAAGAGUUUUCAUAUGCAUCAGAAUUGAAUUUUUGGUGUUAUUUAAUUUUAGUUGAUUGUGUUACAUGCUUUCUUACAAAUUCUCAAGAAGGGAGCACACUAUGUCGAGAUCAAAAGGAGUUUUCAGGAUGAUGCGCCCAUAUAAGCUGCGUGAACUGAAGUCAAAAGCUUUUUGGAGGGAACUGGUCCUCCUGGCUCGUGAGAAUUUCACAUAUCUAUGCAUUGGAGAGGGUCAAACUUGUGCUGGCAUGGUCAUUCAACAGUAAGGUGUUAGAUCAACAUAUGCUUACUGUUCGAGUUUUGGAACAUCUUGUUGGAUCAAAAAAGGUCCCAGAUUACUGUAUCGUUGUUGAUCCUUCAUGCAACUAUGGGUUCAUUCUAUGCCCAGAUGAGGACAAGACUUCGAGGCUUUGAGACCAUUAUGUCAAAGUUGGAGACGAGAAGAUCUUCAAUGUUGUUUCCAAUACUGGGUGUCUGCCUUUUCUUGAAGAUGUCAAUCAGCAUCCCAUAGGCAAGAAGUUGAUUUGCUUUUUGGUUCUCAAAACCUAAAUAUCAGAAGCUUACAGAAGCUAGGAGUCUGCACUGCUUUUCCUUUUGUUAUAUCAUUUGACAUGUUAGCCUACUCCAACUUGCUUGGAAUUAAAAGGCUUUGUUGUUGAUGUAUUUGACCUGUAGCAGCAAACUGGCAUUCAACUAUCUAACUUGUUGGUGAAACAUAAUGUUUAAGUGCUACUUUUUUAA